rnacentral:tRNA from 1 species
GGGGAUAGAGCUUAGCGGAGUAAGUGCCUGCCUGGCAAGCACAAGGUCCUAGGUUAGAUUCCUGGUACUCCUC